rnacentral:rRNA from 1 species
CAUGUGGUUUAAUUCGAUGGUACGCGAGAAACCUUACCAGGGCUUGACAUACGCUGGAAGCGGUCCGAAAGGAUCGUGCCGCUUGCGGCCGGCGGUACAGGUGCUGCAUGGCUGUCGUCAGCUCGUGCUGUGAAGUGUGGGUUAAGUCCCGCAACGAGCGCAACCCUCGCUGUCUGUUGCCACCACGAGAGGUGGGGACUCAGGCGGAACUGCCGGUGACAAACCGGAGGAAGGUGGGGACGACGUCAAGUCAUCAUGGCCCUUAUGUCCUGGGCUACACACGUGCUACAAUGGCCGGUACAGAGCGCAGCGAGGCCGCGAGGCGGAGCGAAUCGCUUAAAGCCGGUCCCAGUACGGAUUGGAGUCUGCAACCCGACUCCAUGAAGUUGGAAUCGCUAGUAAUCGCGCAUCAGCAUGGCGCGGUGAAUACGUUCCCGGGCCUU